rnacentral:rRNA from 1 species
UACCAGCACCCCGAGUGGUCGGGACGUUUUAUUGGGCCUAAAGCAUCCGUAGCCGGUUCUACAAGUCUUCCGUUAAAUCCACCUGCUUAACAGAUGGGCUGCGGAAGAUACUAUGGAGCUAGGAGGCGGGAGAGGCAAGCGGUACUCGAUGGGUAGGGGUAAAAUCCGUUGAUCCAUUGAAGACCACCAGUGGCGAAGGCGGCUUGCCAGAACGCGCUCGACGGUGAGGGAUGAAAGCUGGGGAGGCAAACCGG